rnacentral:rRNA from 1 species
AUGUACUGUGGAUCCAAAGCUAGCUACAACUUCAAUGACAAGAAUAUGUACUCGAACAAGGAAUGUUUGAUUCCUCUUCAGGAGCUACUGAAAUCAUCCGCGUUUUUAGUGGAUGAUAGCUGUGUCUUCGGUGUGGAGAUAUUAAAAAUUGAUGUCUCUUCUCCUGAAAGGAAGUCCGUUGUGGUACAAAAGAAGGCUACCACAGUUGAGAACCUCUUUGUCCAGAAGAAGGGAUUCAUCAAAGGGACAUACACUUGGACCAUGAACAAUUUCCUAGAAUUGGAGUCUCAGCAAUUUAUCCGCUCUCCUACAUUUGAAGUUGGUGGGCAUAAAUGGUACAUCGGCAUGUAUCCGCAUGGUGACAAGCGCAGCACUGAUUACCUCAGCUUGGCUUUGUGCCUGGACUCCUCGGAUGAGCUCUUUAUUGAGUCCAGAAAGGUGGUUCAAAUAACUCUGUCCAUCCUCGACCAAAAGAGUGGGAAAUACUUCACUAGAACUACAGGUUCAGCUCUCCCUAGAAACUACCAGUGCAAAGGCUGGGGAUGGUACAACUUCCUGCCACUCAAGGAACUCAAGGAUAUGUCCAGAGGGUAUCUUAUAGAGUCAAAGUGCGUCCUCAAGGCAGAUCUCACUAUAUUUGGAUCAUCC